GCCGCUCUUGGCCGCGCCCCCGGGGGACACAGACUCAGCCAGGCCCCGUCUCUCCAUCUCCGCCAUGCUCCGCGAACACGUGGGCUCUGAAGACAGCCUCUUCCGGGUCAGGUCGCGGCGCGUGCGCGCUGGAGAGAAAAACAGAGAUAGCGACAGAGACAGCGAGAAGAGAGCAUGAGCAGGGAGGAGACCGAGAAGCAGGCUCCCCGCUGAGCAGGGAGCCCGACGCGGGACCGAUCCCAGGAACCUGGGAUCAAGACCCCAUCCGAAGGCAGACGCCCAGCUGUCGGAGCCACCCAGCUUCAUGAUUUCCGUGCUGGUUCCUUGUCUACGACGUCCGGAGGGCAAGGGCACAGAUACCCUCCUAAGUACGGGUACGCGGCCAGCCCCACGUCACGCUGCAGGACGCGGGCAGAGGCUCCUCAGAGAGAGAGAGAGCAAGAGCAGGAACACAAGCAGGGGGAGUGGGAGAGGGAGAAGCAGGCUUCCUGCCGAGCAGGGAGCCCGAUGUGGGACUCGAUCCCAGGACCCUGGGAUCAUGACCUGAGCCGAAGGCAGACGCUUAACGACGGAGCCACCCAGGCGCCCUAAAGCUCAAGUAUUUUCUACAUUGAAACAACAAUCACAGAAAUCGUCCAAUGCUGCGUGGCUCUCCGCCCCUCCCCUUUCUCUUGGCCUCUUCACAAGCAGGUGGGGUGGUCUCCACUUCGGGUGCAUUGGAAUCACUCUGGGUAUUUGUGAGAUCCGAGUUCUGACUCUGCUUUCCUAACUCCCGGGUGAUCCUGGGACCACAAUUUGAGUAGCACUGACCCACAAAAAAUCAUGGACACCUGCUGCCUCCCACUUCCCCUCAGCUCACUCUAAGCUGGUUUCCGGGGUUUCUGAUUUCUCGGCCCAAUAAAAACUGAACCAACCAUAUGGAGAUACCAGCAGAGGGUCGCCUCCUUUUUGUUUGCCAAGGGGAUGUGUGUGUGGGAGGGGGUCACAAAGACCAUCUGCUCUCAUUUCAUAAACCAGGCAAGGUUACAAUCUCAGAAUGAGGGUUGGUCCUUCCUUCCUAAAAUCUUGUCCAGUUUCUGCCGUGGACUCACCACGUGGCUGUGGGUACGUGGCGUAGCUAUGGGGAGUCUUGACGCCCCUUCCAUAAAACAGGAGUGACAACAUCUGUCCUCCCAGAGCUGAGGUGUGAAUCAAACCAGGAGAUUCGCUGAAAACCCUUAGGCUGGUGCCUGGUACACACUGGACACUCCAGAGACGUGCGUUCCUUCCUGGGACUGCAAUUUAUAGGAAGAGAUCUAGGUUUCGUCAUCCUGUUUCCGGCGCAGAGCUCCUAAGACCCUUGCAACUUCCUAAAUGCUGAGAGACCUAAAGGUGCCUUUUGUCUGUUAAUGAGGUGGCAUUUGGACCCCACCUAAGGGGAGGCUGGAGGCCGGGAGAACUCCCAGUCCUCCCACUGACCAAUGCGGACGGACGACUGACGGGCUGGAGGUCGAAUCGAUCACCAAAAGCCAGUGGUUUAAUCGAUGGUGUCUAAGUAAUGAAGCGUCCACGAAAGCCAAAAAGAAUAGGGUGAGCGCACGGGGGUGCUGGUGGAUGGGGCUCCUGGAGGGGGCACGGCGGCCCUGCCCCUGCCCCACACCUCACCCUGGGCCUCCCUCCCACCUGCUGUCCCUGAGCUGUGCCCUUUAUUAUAAACCGGUGAUCUAAUGAGUAAAUGAGUUUCCUGAGCUCUGCGAGCCACUCUAGCAGAUUAACAGAACCUGAGGAGGGGGCACGGGAGCCUCUGAUUCACAGCCAUUUGGUCAGAA